UCACUCACAUAAUGGCAAAAAAGAGUAAAAAUACAGAUUAGAAAUAAAGGUAGAGAAACGUGCUAGCAACACAUUUUACAUGCAAAGGUUUUUCUUUGGAAAACCAUGAUUGGGGUGGAAAUUGUAGAAAAUGUUGUAUUUGAUUACAGCUCAUGGUGGGAACCUCUGCUAUAAUGUUGGAUACAAGGCAAUUAUUUUCACGUGAAGAUGUAAAGCUACUAUUUUUGACUAUCCAGAUUCUUACCUAGAUUCUCACUUAUUUGCAGGGGGUUUGAAGUAUUUUUAUAACAAAGGGGGAAAGGAAAAACUAUCCCAAAGACUGGUUGAUGUGAGUAAGCAGACUCCUCAUGCCCAUGUCACCAUGUGGAUGUGAACAAUCCAGUCCUACUCUCUUAGAUUCAGACAUGAGAAGAAGAACAAAUGGUUCUUACCCUUGACAUAAACGCACCCAGGAGAUUUGUCUUCAAACUCUUAGUCUUUUGCAGGCAGAUAAAAAUAUGUUGAAGUCUGAGUUACCCUCAGUGGGCUACUAACACUUAGAACUUGCCCAACACUGCACUUGAGCAAGGAGGACAAUACUGUAAAAUUUUAACAGUUGUGUUUUCCUGUAUUCAAGCACACAAUAGGAUGCUCUGCUCACAAAUAAUUAAUGCAUGAGAGAGGGCUGCAGUUCAGAGAUAGAAACUGAGUAACAAGAAGUCAUUGUUACUCAAGUAACAAUACCCAAAACAUUAGGAUAGAAUAUGGAUUUUGCCUUUGUAUUUUGUUUGUAAGCCUCAAAUCAUGUAAAUGUUCAACCUUGCCCAAGGUUAAGAAGACUCCCACUGAGCCUAUUAGUAUAUGUGGGGAACAGUCUGGGUGGUGGAGUAUCAGUCCUCAGAGUGGAUUGAUAUUCUGAGGAUUAAUACUCAGCCCUCUUGGGCUGCUAGAUUUCUGGAACUAUUUUGAAAAGAGUGUUAUACACCAUCAGAAUAUAAUGAAAAGGGCAUGUGUGUGAAAAUAUGGAAUCCGUUCUCAUUUUCCCUAUUAAUGAGAAAAGUUAAUUUAUUUGGGACACUGAGACACUCGAGUGAAAGGCAUACCUUGAAUAAAAUGGUACAAUAUAAACCUGAGUUGGCUAGUUAAUAUUGCUAGUUAUUUUGAAUUUUUACUGUAAUUGAACAUCACAUGAAAAAUGCUGUAUAUUUUUAAAUUGAGUGGAAAGAGCUCUGAUGGACAGAAUAAGAGCAGAAUUAAAGAUAAUUUUUUUCCCCAAAUGAGAUCUUUUUGGCUCAUCCUCUUACAAUUAUUGCUUGGAGUACUGGAAUGUAUUCUUUGUUUAUAACUCAAUGAUUCCCAUAAAGGCAGCACUGUAGCACCACAUAAAAUAACUAUAAUAAUUUGUUGUAAUUGAAGAAAAAUGUGUUUGUGCAGAAAGCACCUCACAACCACAGUUUUAGUGAAUCCUUUCCAUAAUCAUUUGAUCAGUACUUUAAUGUGAGCUGAUUCAAAAUAUACUUUCUAAUAAGUGCUUUGCUUUUUUUUUUUUCUUAACUACUUGGUGAUAUCCUAAUUAACCAUGCUCAAUUGAUUGCUUUCAAAAUAAGAACUAAGAGCUCUCAUCUAGUCAAGUGGAAGCCAAUUCAACUCUUUUACACUAUGGCAAUGAUACAUCUCACACACACUCAUAGCCUCACCCACACAUCCACCACAUGUAGUAUAUUAGCAAUAUCAUAUUCGGACUCUUCUGCUGUGAGUCAGUGUAGCUUGACAGUCACAUUUCUAUGGAUUUUUGCAUCUCAUUUUUCUUUUAAUACUUAUAAGAGUAGGUUUUAAUGUUCAUUUUUCAUCAGCACAUGGAGAUUGUUUUUGGAAUUUUUUUGUGUGAUCACUUGACAAAAUCUCACAUCCGGGAAAUGUGCUGUUUCACUUGGAAAAAGGCAAAAGAGUAAAAGGGAGGAAACGAACUCAAAUCGGGCAAAAGGAAAAUGACCAUUUCACAUCUUAUCUCAAUCGCCUCUCUCUUUUUUCUUUGCGAGUCAAAGUUAAACACAUCUAAUUUGGGUUGACAACACACUUAAUCAUUUGAUUAUGAGAAUGUAGCCAAGUAGCCAGAGAACCUUUGUGCACGGCGGCGUUAUGCUGCGGUAGAAUGGGGGAUUUUCAGAUCCUCGUUACUGUGUAUCACAUGAGCACUGCUUCUCCAGCCAUGUGGAUAAGUGACAGUAGACGAUAUAAUACCUAACUUAAUGCGAUACACAGACCUGAAAAACUCUUUUCAGCACAUAUAAAUCUUCGUCCAGGCAUUACACAACAGGAGUUUAAAAUGGUACAUGUAAAUCAUCCAGACUUAAGCUUCCUAGGAAACACAAACCAUUCUCUAAGGACAUAUGAGACCAGAACUUCAGAAGAUGCUGUCUCACUGUGGGAUGGCAGAAAACGGCGGCUCACAGACCACCCUGGUGAACAGUAAUCAACAAUGCAGUGGCCCACUUUAUAAAGGCGUCAGACAGUCUGUAAGCAAAAAGGCAGAGCCUCCAACUGAGAUAGACCCUGCUAAUAAGUGGCUUCUAGUAAAAAAAAAAAAAAAGAAGCCAGCUUUAACAUAUGCAACAGGUCUCAUAUCACAAUAUAUUGAUUGCUUCAGCAUUCCACCUCCUUUCAUUUGGAGCAACUCCAUCAAGAUUGUUAUCUUGUAACCCCUUAAGUAGGGGUAGAGAGUAUCAGAGAAUAUCUCCACGCUCUCACAGCCUUUUGUAUCUGUGUUAUGGUGUUACAUUUGCAAAUGCCUCCCCACAUGCCUGUUUCACCUGCUGGACGUGACUGCCAGGAAAAUGGCACCAUGUCCUGUUCAUCCUACUAUCUCUAACUUUUAGUAUGGCGCCUGCUCAAGAAGUCAUUUCAUACAUAUUUGGUGAAAACGUCGUUCUAUUCCAGUACUUUUCUUAGCAAGCCGGACAAGCCACUUCAAACGUGUUUUAGUUUGUUUCCCAAUCUAACAAAUGGGAAUAGUAACAGCUUUAAGCAUUUCACAAAAAAAUUGGCAAAAUAAUAUAUUUGAAAAUAUGUCUAAAAAUAUUUUUACAAAAUGUGUUUGCAAGGUGAGGGCUUGGGUAUUUCUGGCAAGGUAAGCUGAAUUGUCUGAAUAAUAUAAUUAUUAUCUGAUAUUCAGUAGUGGAGUUGAAUUUGACUUGCUCUGACAGACAAAAGCCCUUUGGUCUUAUGUUAAAAAUCAUCCAAAAUAAUCUUACUAAUUUGUAUAAUUUAUAUAAAACAUUUGACGAGGAAAAACAACAAAGCGAUUACUUGAGGACAUACUGAAAAUAUUUCAGUUUCCUUAUAAUUCUGACUUUAUAUCAUCAAAAGUACCUCAGUGAGUGCCCAUACCUGCUGUGAUAAGUAGACAGACUAAACCACAUUUUGUCAAUAGGAGGAAGUUACACAAACUGGGUACACAAAUAGAAAAUAAUGUUGAAGAAAGUAUAAUUAAUUAAUUCAAGCUUCAAGAUAAGAUCACUGGAUCCUGCUGACCCUACAUGUUAAUCAGUUGAUUGAUUAAUUGCUACAAUCAUAAUAAUUAUAUGGUACAAAUCUAAGUACACUUAAUGAUAGUGUAGACUCAGAGUUACAAGUUCUUUUCAAUCUGCAUAUCUUUUCUCUUUCUUGAAUCAAGAGUUGGUUUCAUUUACUUUAAAGAUACCUUUUGGCAUGUAGAACUAGAAAGCUUAUGUCAAAUUUAGCCAAGGUUCAAUUUUGCUGGUCCAAUUAACAAUUUUAGGUCAUUUCUCAAUGCUCUGUUGAAAAUUUAAAACAAUCUCAUCUAUGAAUAGGAAUUUGGUGUUAUACAUAUUCAUCAAAUUUUAUUACUCUUUUCACAUGCAGGAAUCUCAAUUUUAGGCUUUACUUUUUUUUCCUACACACACACACACACACACACACACACACACACACACAAUCGAUAUAUAUCAUGGUAUCUUCAAUUUUGCCAAAAUUUCCGUUCUCAUCACUCUUAACUUCUGAUCAGCUAUUCAGUGUUUCCGUAGCCGUAUUCAUUUGAGUGAUUCUGGAAUAAUUUCUCGAAGCACAAAGGUGUCUUGAACCGCCUUUAUCCUAUGUCUACAAGAACAAUACCAGGAUGAAAAAUCAGUUCAUUGAUGCGUUGUGUUUGGCCUAGCCUUCUACUGUACACAAAGCAGCUCAUCAUCACAACGUCUCUAUUUCUGUCAAAUACAUUUUUACCCUGUUGGUUAUUUAGGUCCAAACCUGACCAUGACUGUUUAUCGAAGCUGUCAUUAAAUCUUUGUGACUUAUUUCUUUACUUUUGGUAAUCUUUCUUAUAUAUGCUUUCUCUCCUCGCCCCACCUCUUUUAAAACAAAUAGUCAAAGAUUCUUAAGUCAGUGAGCAACUUAGAACUCAUCCAGCUACUAGAUGCUUCUUAGACUUGUGCAUACAAAUGAAUAAAUUGGAGGGCUUAUAAAAACGCAUUCCUGGGCUCCAUCCCUAGAGGCUGUUAUUCUGAAAGUCAGGAAUGGGGCUUCAGAAUGUUUAUGUUUAAUAAGAUCCCAGGUGAGUCUGCUGCCACUAGCCUGCAGACCGUACUUGGAGCAGCACUUAUUCUAUGACUUUUUAGGGGAUUUUUUGAAAAUCUUCUGAGAAUCUUGCUCCAGAAAAUACACAGAUAAAAAUACACACAAAUUUGACCAACCUUUGGGCAGUGGGUCAUAAGCCUUGUGCAUACCCAUAGAUGUUAAUUUCAGAAUUUUGAUACAGUAUCAUUUAAUCACUUUACAGAGAGAUAAAACUGGUUCCCCAAGUGGUUAGGACACUUGCCUAAGGUCAUACUUGAUUGGUAGCUGAGUGUAAUACCAGGAUACGACAACAGGGUUUUCUGCUGCCAAUCCUUUCUCUUCAAUGCGUCCUGCCAAUAAUCACCAAAAAAAAGUCUCUAAAACAUAAUUUUCUGUUUUUUCACUGCUUUCCUAAAAAAUGCUUAAAGGGGUUUUCAUUGCUGUAGAUUAAAAUUUAAAACGUCUGUAGUAUUGAAUUCUCUGCAAUUAGUUAAUUUAUUGGCCAACUAUUUACUGAGUAGUGUCUCUGACAAAGGUACUGUGUGAAGCAGGAUGCAGGAUGAAGUAGGACAGUGGCAGGCUGCAGCCUUCGUGGGAUUUACAAUGCUGGCUUAACUGGAUGUCCCUCCUAUAUUUUCUACUGUGAUCUCAAAAUGCUUUCUGUAUUCCACUCAGAUUCCUCACUCGCCUCAAAACAGCACCCUGAUCUAAGUGUUAGAACUGUUGCUAAUUUUCUAUCUCAGUCUGGCUCUUCAAACUCCGCAUACACUGAACGACUCUUUAGAGAAGUCAUUCCGACCGCCACGCUUAUAGCUUUCCCUUCCGUAGGGCACUGUCUUCACCACUUACUGUGCCACUAGCUCACUCACGGUUGCAUACUCCUCUCCAGGCAGUUUACCUCUUCCCUCUUCAGUAUCCGCCUCAAGGAAUGCACUUCUUGGCUUGGGGUAAAAUACUCUAAUGUCAGCAUCCUAUGAGAAGGAAGUCCUUACUCUCCCCUUAUUUGGCUUUUGUGGAGGAGAAAGGACUGAAUUCGGUGGUUCUCAAAUCUGCCACACAUCAGAAUCACCCGAGGAUUGUGUUUUCAUAAAGAUUUCUGAACUCCAUCCCAAGCACACCGAAUUAAAAUCUAUGAGCGGGUCUGGGAAUCUAUUUCCAUGAAAGUGAUUUGGGUUGAAACCACAUUUGAGAUCCCCUAGGGUAACUGAUUCUGAGAUCUCUUAUAAUACUGUCAGUUCACCCUUUUCUUACACGUUUGUUUUGUUCUGUUUUUCUUUUUUAUCAUUACAAAUGCACUUACCCUUGGUACAGAAACUUAAAGACAAGUAAAGCAAAAGAGUACAAAACCCAAAGGCUGUGUAAGCAUUCAGAGAUAAUGUCUGUUAAUAUUUUGAAAUACUUUUAGUCUUUUGUCUCCUUAUAAAUAUUUACAUACAUAUUUAAAAAUAGGUCCACAAUAUACACACUUAUGUUCUAUUUUAAUAUUCAUUGGCAUUUUACUUGGAGAAGUAAUGUUUCUUACAACACAAUUUAAAACUGUAUAAUAUUUCAUUACAUAAAUGUGCUAUAAUUUAACCUUCCCUAAGUUUAGACAUAUGUUAGUUUUACAUCUUUAACUAUUAUAAAUAAGAUUUUGGAAAGCGAGUUGGUACACAUUCUUGUGCAUAUCUGUGGAAAUUCCCUAAGGUAAAUUUCUAGAUGUGUGAUAGCCAAUACAAAGGUGUGCACAUUUUUAAGCCUUUUGAUAUAUAACGAGCUAAAAUGUCCCCCAAGAAUGUUGUGGGGGUUCCAAUUCUCAGUAGCCAACAAUUCUUGCCUCACCAUGAACUUUAACAGGCCUUUCAUCUAUAGCCAGGUGUUUUUAUAUCAGUAGUUCCUUCUUGGGAUCGUCAACUUAUACCCAUACAGCAUAGUUCACUGCGUGGACAUUGAGUCUUUUGUUAAGGUUAUUAAAUGUCUAUCUUCCUUGUAGGUUGUCCCAAUGUUAGAGAAAAGACGACUCUAAAAUAAUUAAUCUUGGAAGUAAACUUUGAUGAGGUGUAGCGUAAAAGCUAAAAACCUGAGGCAAGAGAAUGCUAUUUUCUUGUGCGAUACCUUAUUCUGGCCAUCUGUUUAACAAAUAUCUGGUUCCAAAUGGUGCCAAUUAAAACUGAUGGCAAAUCUUAAUAACUUCUACUUGUGAAUAGCAGCAAGACCAACAUUGUGCUUCUUGUGUAGUUAUCUGAUGGCAGUUGAGGUACCUCCAGAUUUUACAGGGAUAUGCAGUCUCUCUCUCUCUCUCUCUCCCUCCCUCCCCCUGCCCCACUGUCUCUGCACUGGUGAUCCAGAACACCCACUGCUAAGCAAGUAUGCAAAAUGCAGUGCUGCUUAGCAUUGGGAAAUCCCAAAUCUGGUGCCAAAAGAUUUAUAAAUAUAGUAAUGAACCCUCUCGUGUCAAAUGUGAGCACUGUUUAACAGAGCAAGUAGGAAUGGUCUUCAGGACGCUUUGCAGCUGGAGUUGUUCCACUGCGAGAGAACGGAAACUUCAUGAUGGCAGUUGUAAUACCAGAUCCUGGAAAGGCAAUUUACUUCAGUCUGCAAAGUAAACUAAAGGGAAUGGCUGCUCACACAUGGUCCUGAUGCCACCGACAUAAGAAACACAGCAACAGGAGCAGAGAAUUAGGAAUUUGGUGGCAGAUGGAAAGGUCUGCAGGAAGUGUCCACCCAGCUUUGUUUGGCCCAUAUUCUAAAACAACUAGAAUAAACACUUAGUGUCAUAAUUUAUACGCAUAUCAGUACCAAUAAAUCAGAAUCAUGCAAACA
rnacentral:lncRNA from 1 species